rnacentral:rRNA from 1 species
UACGUAGGGGGCAAGCGUUGUCCGGAUUUAUUGGGCGUAAAGAGCGUGUAGGCGGUUUGGUAGGUCCGUUGUGAAAACUCGAGGCUCAACCUCGAGACGCCGGCGGAAACCAUCAGGCUAGAGUCCGGAAGAGGAGAGUGGAACUCCUGGUGUAGCGGUGAAAUGCGCAGAUAUCAGGAAGAACACCCAUGGCUAAGGCGGCUCUCUAGUACGGUACUGACGCUGAGACGCGAAAGCGUGGGGAGCGAACAGG